rnacentral:rRNA from 1 species
GGAAUCUUCCGCAAUGGACGAAAGUCUGACGGAGCAACGCCGCGUGAACGAAGAAGGCCUUCGGGUCGUAAAGUUCUGUUGUUAGGGAAGAACAAGUACCAGAGUAACUGCUGGUACCUUGACGGUACCUAACCAGAAAGCCACGGCUAACUACGUGCCAGCAGCCGCGGUAAUACGUAGGUGGCAAGCGUUGUCCGGAAUUAUUGGGCGUAAAGCGCGCGCAGGUGGUUCCUUAAGUCUGAUGUGAAAGCCCACGGCUCAACCGUGGAGGGUCAUUGGAAACUGGGGAACUUGAGUGCAGAAGAGGAAAGUGGAAUUCCAAGUGUAGCGGUGAAAUGCGUAGAGAUUUGGAGGAACACCAGUGGCGAAGGCGACUUUCUGGUCUGUAACUGACACUGAGGCGCGAAAGCGUGGGGAGCAAACAGGAUUAGAUACCCGAG